rnacentral:rRNA from 1 species
UACGUAGGGGGCUAGCGUUGUCCGGAAUCAUUGGGCGUAAAGCGCGUGUAGGCGGUCCGGUAAGUCCGCUGUGAAAGUCGGGGGCUCAACCCUCGAAUGCCGGUGGAUACUGUCGGGCUAGAGUGCGGAAGAGGCGAGUGGAAUUCCUGGUGUAGCGGUGAAAUGCGCAGAUAUCAGGAGGAACACCAAUUGCGAAGGCAGCUCGCUGGGACGUUACUGACGCUGAGAAGCGAAAGCAUGGGGAGCGAACAGG